UUUCCUCUUAGGAUAUGCAGAUGCAACCGUUGCUGCAGUCUGUGUAGAACUGCCUUUUAUUUCCCACGACCUUGACGUUCCUUUUUAACACUUUCUUCUUCCUCUUGGCGUUUCUCAUAGUGUGAGAAGUCAUCAAAAAUGGAAGUGGUGUGCUUGUAGCUGGCUAUAAUUUUCAACACCUGCUUAGCCUUUUCCAGAGGCACUUCCUGAGUGUCCCUAGAGUUGGUCACUGGUUUAUUCUCGUUGUUCUCUAGGCGAAUGUGUCGCAGUUGGCUAUUGGGAACGUCCUUCACAAAAAUCCACCUGACAUCAAAACGACCCUUCCAUUUGUCCUGGGACCACACACCUGCACAUGUGUUGUAGUCCACAGCAGAUUUCAUUUCUGCCACGCCACAGAAGUGUCCACUGCCGUUGACACUGAAAAGUAAGUAAACGGGGCCUUUCCCGUUCAUGGAACGAUAAGCAGCAUCCAGUCUCUUGUUACCAUGCUCUGUGCUGCACCAAAUAUUAUACUUAAUGGAACGGUGAAUAUCGUCCUCAGAGUAGCUCUUAAUGAUGAAAACCCGGCCAUGUUUCAGAUUCCAGUCAAAAUCUUUGGGGUUAUAGUUAUUAAUGGACCGAAGCUUCUCCAACACUGGGUGGGGUUCUGAAGGAGUAGAUCCAGAACCAGCCUGAGACUGUCCUACUCCAUUACCAUCCACCCC
rnacentral:lncRNA from 1 species